rnacentral:rRNA from 1 species
UCGAACGAUGAACCUCCUUCGGGAGGGGAUUAGUGGCGAACGGGUGAGUAACACGUGGGCAAUCUGCCCUUCACUCUGGGACAAGCCCUGGAAACGGGGUCUAAUACCGGAUACGACCACCGACCGCAUGGUCUGGUGGUGGAAAGCUCCGGCGGUGAAGGAUGAGCCCGCGGCCUAUCAGCUUGUUGGUGGGGUGAUGGCCUACCAAGGCGACGACGGGUAGCCGGCCUGAGAGGGCGACCGGCCACACUGGGACUGAGACACGGCCCAGACUCCUACGGGAGGCAGCAGUGGGGAAUAUUGCACAAUGGGCGAAAGCCUGAUGCAGCGACGCCGCGUGAGGGAUGACGGCCUUCGGGUUGUAAACCUCUUUCAGCAGGGAAGAAGCGAGAGUGACGGUACCUGCAGAAGAAGCGCCGGCUAACUACGUGCCAGCAGCCGCGGUAAUACGUAGGGCGCAAGCGUUGUCCGGAAUUAUUGGGCGUAAAGAGCUCGUAGGCGGCUUGUCACGUCGGAUGUGAAAGCCCGGGGCUUAACCCCGGGUCUGCAUUCGAUACGGGCAGGCUAGAGUUCGGUAGGGGAGAUCGGAAUUCCUGGUGUAGCGGUGAAAUGCGCAGAUAUCAGGAGGAACACCGGUGGCGAAAGCGGAUCUCUGGGCCGAUACUGACGCUGAGGAGCGAAAGCGUGGGGAGCGAACAGGAU